rnacentral:rRNA from 1 species
AUUGAACGCUGGCGGCAUGCCUUACACAUGCAAGUCGAACGGCAGCAUGAUCUAGCUUGCUCGAUUGAUGGCGAGUGGCGCACGGGUGAGUAAUACAUCGGAACUUGCCCUGUAGUGGGGGAUAACUAGUCGAAAGAUUAGCUAAUACCGCAUACGACCUGAGGGUGAAGGUGGGGGACCGCAAGGCCUCAUUGUAUAGGAGCGGCCGAUGUCUGAUUAGCUAGUUGGUGAGGUAAAGGCUCACCAAGGCGACGAUCAGUAGCUGGUCUGAGAGGACGAUCAGCCACACUGGGACUGAGACACGGCCCAGACUCCUACGGGAGGCAGCAGUGGGGAAUUUUGGACAAUGGGCGAAAGCCUGAUCCAGCAAUGCCGCGUGUGUGAAGAAGGCCUUCGGGUUGUAAAGCACUUUUGUCCGGAAAGAAAUGGCUCUGGUUAAUACCUUGGGUCGAUGACGGUACCGGAAGAAUAAGGACCGGCUAACUACGUG